CAGAGAAGCGUAUGUGUCCUUGAGAUCCUCUUUAUCGAUGAAGCCGUCCCGGUUCUGGUCGAUGAGCGUGAAGGCCUGGAUUCAAACGACAGACACACGUGAGAUAAAGACUUGAAGUGAAAGGCGGUCUGAGUGAGGACUUUACCUCUUUGAACUCUUGGAUCUGAGUCUGUUCGAACAUGGAGAACACGUUGGACGACGCUCUCUGGGCUCGUUUGGCUCCUCCCUCCUUCUUCUUCGUCUUUCUGCUCGCCUGCAACAACCGACGGAAACAUUUAACAAUCCAUGAAGACAAACUGGGAGAAGUUCUGAAUCCUGGUCCAGUCGGGCUGAAACGACCCGUUAACCUGCUACUCACACAACUAAUAGUAACUGUCAGCUGAGGAUAAUUCAUCGUGAUUCUAACAUCGUUAACGUUUCUGAAAUCAGCAGCUGAAGACUAAAUCUGUCACCUCCAGCAGAUGUUAAAGGGGCAGUCAGUAGAAAUGUUACCGACUUUCUUUGUUUUCAUGUCUGAAUAAACUGAAGUAACAAACUGA